rnacentral:rRNA from 1 species
UACGGGGGGGGCAAGCGUUGUUCGGAAUUACUGGGCGUAAAGGGCUUGUAGGUGGCCAACUAAGUCAGACGUGAAAUCCCUCGGCUUAACCGGGGAACUGCGUCUGAUACUGGAUGGCUUGAGUUCGGGAGAGGGAUGCGGAAUUCCAGGUGUAGCGGUGAAGUGCGUAGAUAUCUGGAGGAACACCGGUGGCGAAGGCGGCAUCCUGGACCGAUACUGACGCUGAGGAGCGAAAGCCAGGGGAGCAAACGGG